AGCAGUGUGGCAUAGUGGUAAGGGGCAGGGCUCGUACCCAAGAGGUUGCUGGUUUGAUUCCCCGCUGGGG